rnacentral:rRNA from 1 species
AUUGAACGCUGGCGGCAGGCUUAACACAUGCAAGUCGAGCGGUAACAGAGAGAAGCUUGCUUCUCUGCUGACGAGCGGCGGACGGGUGAGUAAUGCCUAGGAAUCUGCCUAGUAGUGGGGGAUAACUUGCCGAAAGGUAAGCUAAUACCGCAUACGUCCUACGGGAGAAAGGAGGGGACCUUCGGGCCUUUCGCUAUUAGAUGAGCCUAGGUCGGAUUAGUUAGUUGGUGAGGUAAUGGCUCACCAAGACCGCGAUCCGUAACUGGUCUGAGAUGAUGAUCAGUCACACUGGAACUGAGACACGGUCCAGACUCCUACGGGAGGCAGCAGUGGGGAAUAUUGGAAAAUGGGGGGAACCCUGAUCCAGCCAUGCCGCGUGUGUGAAGAAGGUCUUAGGAUUGUAAAGCACUUUAAGUUGGGAGGAAGAGCAGUUAACUAAUAUUUGACUGUUUUGACGUUACCGACAGAAUAAGCACCGGCUAACUUCGUGCCAGCCGCCGCAGUAA